rnacentral:lncRNA from 1 species
UCUCAGAGAACACAAUCCAGGACCCUGUCUUACCACAGAUCAUUUGGACUUUUUGCUGGCCCUUUAAAAAAGGAAAAGAGAAGCUUCCCCAUUUCUGGAUCUUCUUUCCACUGGUCUUGCUUAGACACACUAGCCUACCCAGGCAUUUGACUGCCUGCCCAGACAUGUUGCCACGUUAGGAGGAAAAAGGAAAAAAUGAUGAGGAAAAUAAAUGCAGGAGUCCUUUCCCCCCAUCUGCUUUGGAUACCAGAAUAUAAAAUAACGGCAGGGUUGUUGAGAACUCUGUAUUGGAUUAAAUUAGAUGACUUUUGUUAAACAGCCCAUUUUGUACUGCUGGAGUUGGGGUUACAUGUUAGCUGCUAAUAACCAGAACAACUUCAAAUAGAGUAAUUCCCUCCCUCCCCCAAAACAAUUUUUUAAUGAAUCCUUAGGAAAACACCCUGCAUUUACCUCCUCAGUACUGUUUCUAGGGCUCAGAGGCUUUACUUUGACAACUGCAAAGGGAUUCAGGGAGUUUCACAGCUGCUUUGAGGUGGGUCCUGGCUCAGAGACAAAGACAUGCUUUAUUGGAUAGAGCAACUAGGCUGAUUGUUGGUGGUCCCUAGGAAAAAAGUGUACCUAAGGGAGCUUCUUUGGAUGGGAAUGAGACAAACUACGUGGCAAAACACAAACCACCGUAGGUGAACUAAGCAAAAAGCAUUUGUCAGCUUUUUAGGUUUUAGGAAGAUAAUGAACAGCGCCAAAGGACUAAGUUUUUGAAUUUUCCUUUUUUUUUUUUUUUUUUGCACAGAAAUAUUCUGUCUGCCUCAGUGCAAGUUUAUAUCCUGUUGACUUGCACCAUCAUAAUUACUUCAAAGAGAACCAGUGUACAGUGAAAACUUUUAAAGUAAUACCUGUUCUUUGCAAUGCCUUAGUUUAAUAUUUUGCCAUCUCUGCAGUUUGUUUACUUUUCCACCUUCCAUUGCACCUGGUGUAAACUUGACCACUUUGGUUCUGUGCUGUCCAUUCUCCUUAGUUCUGAAUUGAGAUUCCAGCAUUGCCCAGGAAAACUUCUAAUUGUACUGCCUACUAAGUAGAUUUUAUUAGAUAUAGCAUCUCACUGUACAUUCUAUAAAUCUAAUGUUUAAAAACAAAAUCUAAAUAUCCUUUCCUGCUUUCAUACUUUCAAUUUACCUGUCUCCUUCCUACUAAUGAGAAGCUACCUAGCAAGACAAAGGUAUAGUUUUCCUGCUUUCAUUCCCAGAAACAUGAGAGUAGUGAUGCAGUCAUCCUUUUCCUGUAUCCUAGCUUAAUUUUCAAGUUCUUUGCUUGCAUACCUCUGCUUCCUCCAUUUUUACGGGAGCAUGUGAGCACAGAGAAUGGAAUUUGCCAUAAAUAUGGCUUGGCUUGGCUUGGCUUGGCUUAAAAAAAGAAAAAUACAGGCUCUAUAGUUAGGUUCCGACCCCGAUGUGGGUCGGAGAUGGCAAAACUGCCUUUCCCACAGGGACCAUUUGGCUUCUUUUCAUUGCCUAUUGGCUGGAAAGGAAUCAAAUCACUUUUUUGGGGGGGUGGGAAGAGCUUUAGACAAGAGUUUUGGUUGAGCACUGUAUCUGAUAGUUUCCAUGAAAAGAAGGAAAGAAUAGAUUGGACUUCACUGGGGGAACAAUAUGUGUUUUAUUUUCAGCUUAAACUUGAAGUUUUCAAAUGAAAGGCCCAAAGCCUCACUGAGUCCUCUGCCAAACAGAGGAAGGGAAUCAAGGAGGGACAGUGUGGGAGCUAAGUUGUCAGACUACCACUGAGAGAAAAAAUUGGUAGGCAAGCCAGGAAGAGUUUGGUGGCCUUCCAUGAAUUUCUUCAGUUCUUAUCCAAAUUGCACCACUAUGGAAUCCUUUGCAGAAUGGUACUCAUUUAUAAUAUGGGACUUUUAAGACAAUAGAUAUAUAAUUGAUGUGCAGGAUAUCAAUCUUUUUUUUGCUUUAUUUUAUAAACACAUGUAUCCUGUACAUUGCAGUGGGUGUGAAGAUAGUAUUUUAAUAUUUGUACAAAGUUUAAUUUAAUUUUAAUUGUUCUAUGUAUAUAACUGCAUUUCUAAAUAAUAAUAAUAAAAGCAAG